GGGCCGUUAGCUCAAUUGGUAGAGCUGCGGACUUUUAAUCCGUAGGUUCUGGGUUCGAGCCCCAGGCGGCCCACUA
rnacentral:tRNA from 6 species